UAGAUUCUAACUCUUUCCCCCUUUUCCUCUAGCUAGACGUUGAUCCUGCUAUGAGCGCUUGUGUUUCCAAAAUUACUCCCAUAAGUGGUUGUUGCUGAUUCUCUCUGUUUGUGAAUUCCCAUAUGAUUCAGAGACGGGUGUUUUCGGUUCCUGGUUCACUUUUCUACCUGCUGACUACCCUCAGAAGAUGCACCCUCUCAAGCCUCAUUCUUUGGCACUGGUUUUCUGCCUCCUGUAGGAGUGGGUGGUGAGUAUUUCUCCUUGUUGGGAUGGUGCACAUAAGCUGUUUGUGCACGAUCCUCUGAAAACUGAAUGUGAUCAACAUAAAGAUUCAAAUAGCCGCAGACAAUGGUG
rnacentral:lncRNA from 1 species